rnacentral:rRNA from 1 species
CAGAGCCGCGGGAAUACGUAGGUGGCAAGCGUUGUCCGGAAUUAUUGGGCGUAAAGGGCUCGCAGGCGGUUUCUCAAGUCUGAUGUGAAAGCCCCCGGCUCAACCGGGGAGGGUCAUUGGAAACUGGGAAACUUGAGUGCAGAAGAGGAGAGUGGAAUUCCACGUGUAGCGGUGAAAUGCGUAGAGAUGUGGAGGAACACCAGUGGCGAAGGCGACUCUCUGGUCUGUAACUGACGCUGAGGAGCGAAAGCGUGGGGAGCGAACAGGAUUAGAUACCCCCGUAGUCCCUGUCUCUUAUACC